rnacentral:rRNA from 1 species
UACGUAGGGUGCAAGCGUUAAUCGGAAUUACUGGGCGUAAAGCGUGCGCAGGCGGUUCGGAAAGAAAGGUGUGAAAUCCCAGGGCUUAACCUUGGAACUGCACUUUUAACUACCGGGCUAGAGUACGUCAGAGGGGGGUAGAAUUCCACGUGUAGCAGUGAAAUGCGUAGAGAUGUGGAGGAAUACCGAUGGCUAAGGCAGCCCCCUGGGAUGAUACUGACGCUCAUGCACGAAAGCGUGGGGAGCAAACAGG